GAACCGACUCAAGCGGUUUGACUGUUCCUUUGACGAAAGCUAAACUAACCGCAUACAAAAUGGCGCAAUAUGUCAGGAAUUUGUCAUGUAUCAAGUUAUAUUUUCUUUUGUAUAAUAAUUACAUUCGUUUAGUUAAGCAACUUGUUCAUAGUGAUAAUUGUAGAAAAGUGUAGAAAAAUGACACCUGCAUUAUAUCCUGGGAUGAAGAAACGUUAUUUUAUGUCGAUUUCUUUAGAUGACAAAGGAGGUAACCAAAUAGCAUAUCUUACAAAAUCUGAGGACAAUAAUAAGGAUCGUUUAUCAAGGUUAAAAUAAUUAUUUUACUAAAUUAAGACAUUAACAUAUCCAUGUGUUCGACAUAACCUCACUUCUUAAAUCUCUUAAAUUAGUCGGUUGAGAAGCGGAUCGAGAAUGAUUGUUUGAAUAUAAGUCGUACAAAAUUGGAAUGAAACGAUGAACAAUAUACAGAUCUUUAGACAGGCUCAAAUAAUAAAACCUCUAAAAUUGGGAACAGUAUGUCAUAUAUGCAUGAACUUGAUUGAUGUAUUGAUGUAUAAUGAACUGAAGAUAUAAUGAAUUCAAUCAGGUUAAAAAAAAUGUAUGUGCAAAAGCGACUCGAAGACGAUUUAGAUUUGUCUCCUGAAUAUAAAACUUCCAAGAAGUACAUCAUAUAUGAAUAUCCUGUAUCCUCGCAUUUGAUGUAUUGAACUGGCGAUAGAAUGAAAUCAGUCAGUGUUAAAAAUGUAUGUGUAAAAGCGACUUUAAGAUGAUGGAGAUUUGUACACUGAACAUAAAACUUCCAAAAUUUGGGGCAGUAUGUCAUAUGUGCAUAAUCUGUAUCCUGGCAUUUGAUGCAAUGAACUGGCGAUAGAAUGAAAUAAUGAAAAAUAGGCAGGCUGUUUGAUGUAUAAGGAAGUGGCGAUAGAAUACUUAUGCAACACUUCACACUUCACGCCCCAAAAAUAGAAUUACGUUCAUUAGAUAUACAACAAUUUUCAUUAAAUAUACUGUUAUUAAUAUGUUAAGAUUGAAUAAUUUGUAAAAAGUUUUCUAGUAUAGUUCAUGUUAAAAUUUUAUAAUUUCAAAA